CUAUUCUGGUGACCCAUUCACAUAUAGCAUCUAAUCUGUGACUUCCAGCGAAGGGAAAGAGUCAAUUCCAUACUCCUGUGAUGCUCUCAUUUGGGACUGGUGUCCAACAGAGCAGGUAAACUCUGUGAGAGAGUGCAUCAGAUCUUGGGUAAGCCAGCCAGCUUCUCUCUGUUCCAUGACUACAGAUCUCAGCUUGAUGCCCAGCCUAUGCAGGUUGAGUAUCCCUUAUCUGAAAUGCUUGGGACCAGAAGUGUUUCAGAUUUUGGAUUUUUUUUCAGGUAUUGGAAUAUUUGCAUAUACUUACUUGUUGAGCAUGCCAAAUUUAAAAAUCUGAAGCUCAAAAUGCUCCAAUGAGCCUUUCUUUUGUGCAUCAUGUUGGCACCCAAAAUGUUUCAGAUUUUGGAGCAUUUCAGAAUUGCGGUUUUUGGAUUUGAGAUGCUUCAUCUGUACUUGCUUCUGGUCAUAGUGUAUGAAUGAGGUGGUGCUGGACGUUUGAUAAACUGAGGAGUGAGUUAAGUACUAUCAGUUGUUACAAUAAUGGAUCAAUUAAUUAUCAAUUGUGUUUUUGACUGUAAGAAACAGAAGACCCAAGUCAACUUUUAUUACUUGAAGGCAAAUAGUUCUACUGUGGUCAUGGAAAGGCUACUGAGCUUCUUUUAGUUCAGUUUUCCAAUAUCCUAAAUCAGGGUAAUAAUGCUACCAUCCUUCUAGAUUUGUCAUAAUGUUUCUUACUGUAAGAGAUUAGCCUUAGACUCCAAAGAAGUGUGCUCAACUCCUUUCCCCGCCUCUUACUAGCUACAGUAAUCUAAUCUAAUUCUUCCCGAGACUCACCUGCAGAAUGGAAUUAACAAUACCUUCCUCAAAAGAUGUUGUGAGUGACCAAUAAGAUUUACUGGUAGGUAGGAUUGCACAGGGGGC
rnacentral:lncRNA from 1 species